AAUACAGAGGAAAAAUUUGAACUGAUUGCAACCUCUUCAUAAUGAAAUAUUUCAUUGUGAAUAUCGAAAACAAACUUCGAUAUAAAAAAUGCUAAAGCAGGAACA
rnacentral:ncRNA from 1 species